rnacentral:rRNA from 1 species
AAGGUUUGGCACCUCGAUGUCGGCUCAUCGCAUCCUGGGGCUGAAGCAGGUCCCAAACGGACGGGAUAACCGCUGAAAGCAUCUAAGCGGGAAGCCUUUUCCAAGAUGAGCACUCCCAUGCGGUCAACGCAGUAAGGCCCGUGACGAGACCAUCACGUUGAUAGGCCGGAGGUGGAAGCGUGGUAACACGUGUAGCCGACCGGUACUAAUCGGCCGAGGGCUUGGUUG